rnacentral:rRNA from 1 species
UACGUAGGGGGCAAGCGUUGUCCGGAAUUAUUGGGCGUAAAGCGCGCGCAGGCGGUUUUUUAAGUCUGGUGUCUAAGUGCGGGGCUCAACCCCGUGACGCACUGGAAACUGGGGAACUUGAGUGCAGAAGAGGAGAGCGGAAUUCCACGUGUAGCGGUGAAAUGCGUAGAGAUGUGGAGGAACACCAGUGGCGAAGGCGGCUCUCUGGCCUGUAACUGACGCUGAGGCGCGAAAGCGUGGGGAGCAAACAGG